GGUAGCGUGGCCGAGCGGUCUAAGGCGCUGGUUUAAGGCACCAGUCUCUCUCCGGAGGCGUGGGUUCGAAUCCCACCGCUGCCA
rnacentral:tRNA from 1 species